CUUAAACCCUUCGACAGCUCCAGAACCAUUCGGCCAUCGGGAUGUCGUGCUGCCCGAUUCUGCGCAUUGAGGUCCACAUGACUGACGUACCAUUCCUUAUUAUCUGUGGGUGGACCCACCAGAAGCGGGGACACCGUGACAUCACGACAGAGGGACCGUCCCCCGCCUCCAUAGUUCGAGCUGAGGAGUGAAGCGGCUCAGAUUGUCGCUGGCUGCUGUGGAGGACCCCAGGGUCUCCUCUUUCAAAUAUCGUUUGCUUCUGUUGGGGGAUUUUAUACCCGUAGUGUCCUGUCUCCCCUGGCUGGGCUUCAAAGUGGUGUUUCGUGUUAUUUUAUGCCAUUUAUUUCUAUUAAUGUUUAUUCUGUUCAUUAUGCACAUUGUGUUUGUGUUUGCUUGUAAACGGAUGUGGCCUCGGUUACACACAAAGAAAUGAGAGAUGGCCGGCAGUUCAACCCAGACGAAACCCCCAUGACGCUAGAUGGCAACUUCCCUGCAGCUUAGCGGUGCCCCAGAUUCCCGCAGGGCAUUAUGGGAAAUGGAGUUUGGCUUCACAGCCCUGCUGGGUACCGUGGGUGCCGUGAAGGGAUGCUACAGGGAGACAAGGGGAUUUCGGUUUCCAAUAUAGCCCGGAAGUACUCCCAAGUCAUGGGGACGGAAGGACAGAAGUACUUCCAGGCUGAAGGAAGAUGUAAUUCUCCAUCUGACCCGGAAGUGCUGACAAAUCACACGAACAGAAGAGGAGCAGCACUUCCGGGUCAAGGACUAGUGGAGACCCAGCAAGGGAGCCGGAGCUGGGAGGGAGUGUGACAGAGCUGCUUGGUGGAGAGGAGGAAAAGUAUUGUGUUUGGUGGAUGUGGUGCUUUAGAGGCACAAUUGCAAAGAAGGAAUUAACGUUGUACUUAGUGCUUUUAAACUUGUGUCCUGAGCAUCUAUCUGUCUGUUGGGUUUCAUGGGGCAGCAUCGCCCUGUAACGUCCACACCUUCAAAGAAAAGACCAGCAGACUUACCGUGAAACACGGAGGAUGCUCACUUAUGUUUGGGGCUGCUUUGCUACAUCUGUCACAGGGGGACCUCGAGUCUGUGGAGGGAACAACGAAAUCUCAAGACCACCAAGACAUUCUGGAAUGAAACCUCCUGGCCAGUGUCAGGGUGCUCUGCCUCAGUCGCACCUCAUGGACCUUCCAACGGGAUAAGGAGCACCCAAGAUUGGUGAAGAACAAAACAUUGGACUGUUCUGAAGUGACCUUCUGAGAUGAAUCCCAUCAAACAUCGAUGGAGAGAACUGAAACAUGCCAUCUGGAGAAGACCCCUCCACGCCUGCCCCUGACUCUGUUGUAGCAAAACUCAAAAGCAAAGUCUGAUUUGUGUUAAAUACGAAAUACAAUGACUUUGGUACGUUUUAAGUUAUUUCAGAGACAGUUGGGGAUUCUACCACUUAAUCUGGCCACGUCUGUAUUUAUAUUUAUAUAUAUAUAUAUAUAUACACCAUUUGUCACAUGACUCUUCUGAAUAGAUUAUCUUCCAUUGGCAUUACCCACACUCCACUAGAUUGGUUCAGCUCCUACCUCUCAGGCCACACCCAGUUUGUUCAGCUUAAAACUUUCACAUCCCAACCCACUUCAGGUGGGCUCUGCACUGGGACCCCUCCUUCUCAUUAUUCACCUCCUUCCCAUCGGCUUUUAAAUCCCGACUGAAGACUUACAACUUCAGUUUAGCACACCCUGACUAGAGCUGCUGAUUAACUGUGCAGACUCCA